CGUAGGGUGCGAGCGUUUAAUCGGAAUUACUGGGCGUAAAGCGUGCGCAGGCGGUUUUGUAAGACAGGCGUGAAAUCCCCGGGCUCAACCUGGGAACUGCGCUUGUGACUGCAAGGCUAGAGUACGGCAGAGGGGGGUGGAAUUCCACGUGUAGCAGUGAAAUGCGUAGAGAUGUGGAGGAACACCAAUGGCGAAGGCAGCCCCCUGGGUCGAUACUGACGCUCAUGCACGAAAGCGUGGGUAGCAAACAGGAUUAGAUACCCUGGUAGUCCACGCCCUAAACGAUGUCAACUAGGUGUUGGGUGGGUAAAACCAUUUAGUACCGGAGCUAACGCGUGAAGUUGACCGCCUGGGGAGUACGGCCGCAAGGUUA
rnacentral:rRNA from 1 species